rnacentral:rRNA from 1 species
UACGUAGGGGGCUAGCGUUGUCCGGAAUCAUUGGGCGUAAAGCGCGCGUAGGUGGCCUCGUAAGUCCGCUGUGAAAGUCAAAGGCUCAACCUUUGAAAGCCGGUGGAUACUGUGAGGCUAGAGUACGGAAGAGGCGAGUGGAAUUCCUGGUGUAGCGGUGGAAUGCGCAGAUAUCAGGAGGAACACCAAUAGCGAAGGCAGCUCGCUGGGACGUAACUGACACUGAGGCGCGAAAGCGUGGGGAGCGAACAGG